rnacentral:rRNA from 1 species
GACGAACGCUGGCGGCGUGCUUAACACAUGCAAGUCGAACGGUAAGGCCGUGGCUUUGUGUGCUGCUUGAGUGGCGAACGGGUGAGUAACACGUGAGUAACCUGCCUUUGAGUGUGGGAUAACUUUUGGAAACGGGGGCUAAUACCGGAUAAGAGUAGAUGCUGCAUGGUGGGGGUUGGAAAGUUUCGGUGGCUGGGCUAGGAGUCGGGGCUUAUCAGUUUGUUGGUGGGGGUGGGGCAUCCCAUGGCGAUGACGGGUAGCCGGCCUGGGAGGGUGACCGGCCACAUUGGGCCUGAGAAGGGGGCCAGAGGCCAACGGGGGGCAGCGGUGGGAAACAUUGCACAAUGGGCGGAGGCCGGAAGCAGCAACGCCGGGUGCGGGAGGACGGCCGUCGGGUUGUAAACCGCUUUCGCCUGUGACGAAGCGUGAGUGACGGUAAUGUAUAAAGAAGCACCGGCUAACUACGUG